rnacentral:rRNA from 1 species
AACGAACGCUGGCGGCAGGCCUAACACAUGCAAGUCGAGCGAACCCUUCGGGGUUAGCGGCGGACGGGUGAGUAACGCGUGGGAAUAUGCCCUUUGCUACGGAAUAGCCCCGGGAAACUGGGAGUAAUACCGUAUGUGCCCUUCGGGGGAAAGAUUUAUCGGCAAAGGAUUAGCCCGCGUUGGAUUAGGUAGUUGGUGGGGUAAUGGCCUACCAAGCCUACGAUCCAUAGCUGGUUUGAGCGGAUGAUCAGCCACACUGGGACUGAGACACGGCCCAGACUCAUCCGGGAGGCAGCAGUGGGGAAUCUUGGACAAUGGGGGCAACCCUGAUCUAGCCAUGCCGCGUGAUCGAUGAAGGCCUUAGGGUUGUAAAGAUCUUUCAGCUGGGAAGAUAAUGACGGUACCAGCAGAAGAAGCCCCGGCUAACUCCGUGCCAGCCGCCGCCGUAA